UACGUAGGGUCCGAGCGUUGUUCGGAAUUACUGGGCGUAAAGCGCGCGUAGGCGGACCUGCAAGUCGGGGGUGAAAGCCCGAGGCUCAACCUCGGAACUGCCUUCGAUACUGCGGGUCUCGAGUCCGGGAGAGGUGAGUGGAAUUCCUAGUGUAGAGGUGAAAUUCGUAGAUAUUCGCAAGAACACCAGUGGCGAAGGCGGCUCACUGGCCCGGUACUGACGCUGAGGUGCGAAAGCGUGGGGAGCAAACAGG
rnacentral:rRNA from 1 species